rnacentral:rRNA from 1 species
GAUGAACGCUGGCGGCGUGCCUAAUACAUGCAAGUCGAGCGAACAGACGAGGAGCUUGCUCCUCUGACGUUAGCGGCGGACGGGUGAGUAACACGUGGAUAACCUACCUAUAAGACUGGGAUAACUUCGGGAAACCGGAGCUAAUACCGGAUAACAUGUUGAACCGCAUGGUUCAACAGUGAAAGACGGUCUUGCUGUCGCUUAUAGAUGGAUCCGCGCCGCAUUAGCUAGUUGGUAAGGUAACGGCUUACCAAGGCAACGAUGCGUAGCCGACCUGAGAGGGUGAUCGGCCACACUGGAACUGAGACACGGUCCAGACUCCUACGGGAGGCAGCAGUAGGGAAUCUUCCGCAAUGGGCGAAAGCCUGACGGAGCAACGCCGCGUGAGUGAAGAAGGUCUUCGGAUCGUAAAACUCUGUUAUUAGGGAAGAACAAAUGUGUAAGUAACUAUGCACGUCCUGACGGUACCUAAUCAGAAAGCCACGGCUAACUACGUG